GGUCUUUGCCCUAGCCGACGUGCAUCGGAUUGGCAGGGCACGCGGCCAAUGAGCAGUGCGGACUGAGGCGCGGCACGGGGAGGAGGCGUGGAAGGGGAUCCCGUGAGGGCGGAUCCCUUGGACGGGGAUUAAAGAAAAGAAAAAGUCUGAACCGGCGGUCGGCCUCCUGGGAUUUUAUCCGAGGAGCCUGCAUUUAAACCCUUCCUGCCUCACUCUUCCUUUUUCCUGUUUGUCCUGCCGCUUUAAACUCUGGUUUCGCCUUCCUGUUCAUUCCAUUGCUUAUUUUAGGUCGCAAGUGCUUUAUCCACUGCUUUGAGUUUUUGACUGGAAAACCCAUAAUAUAAUCAGUCAAAACCCACACGUUGAAACACCAUAAAGUCACCCAGUCUCGGUCACCCUGGCACACACGGGGUUGUGAUCGUGACCUAGUCAUGUUUCUGACUCCGCUCAAUGGAAUGGAAUGAUUUUCUUUGGCUGUGCUGAGGUUAAUAUUGGAGGCAUAAACCCUCCGAGAAGGUAGAUGAAAAGGAGCGCGAUUCACUUCCUCCUGUUUAACAGGAAUGUGAGGACAGGUCUGGAAAAUACCCUGGCACCAGUUAACAGGUUUAAAAGGGAGUUUCAUUCAUAUAAAUGAUCAAGAUUGUGACUGGCAUAUACAGUGGAAAAGGAAGAAGGGCAAGUGUUUUACUAUGAUUCUCCUUUCAUUUUUAGAUUUGGAACCUGAACACCUAAGUUACAAAGGCAGAAGAUCUGGCAGCUUCAACACACUUGUUUCAUUACCUUCACACCCAGGGAGCUCUGCAGCUCUGCCCCAGGAGAGGAAGGAGAUAUUAGGGAACUGGGCUGGGGAAAAGUGCUGGAUAUUUUUCAUUCUCCCUAAUUUUAAAAGCGAUCACAUAUGGGUCAUACGCCCCUUUUACUACCUAUAUGCCCAUCCUGCCACCUCUAAGACAUAAAGUUCCAUAGCCAGAGAUACAGGACUGGUGAAAUGAAGAUGGCUUAUGAUGAAACCUGCUGCCUUCUUAAAAUUGCAACCACUGCACCUUUUCUGGAAGCCAGAUCAAGUUUCAGAUCAGUGAUUUCAUUCAACACGUAUUCUGCAAAGCGCCCACUCUACAGAAGAAGGCAUCAUGCUGUAGUAGAAAGAACAAGUGCUCUCAGUCAGACGGAUCACAGUGUGAAUCCCACUGCAUCCAUGUUUAUACUCCUAUAUUCCCCCUAUAGAGCUGGAAGCUGAACAAAUGGAAGCUGAACAAAUGCUGUGUCUAAUUUUUAAUCCUAACACAACAGUUUUUA
rnacentral:lncRNA from 1 species